GCCAGGUACGGUGGCACAUGCCUGCAAUCCCAGCAGCUUGGGAGGCUGAGACAGGAAAAUCGUGAGUUCAGAGCCAGCCUCAGCAACAGCAAGGCACUAAGCAACUCGGUGAGAUCCUGUCUCUC
rnacentral:sRNA from 1 species